UAUUUUGUUAUAUAAUGUGAAUCACACCGUUUAGAAAAUAAGAUUAUGGGGUUAAUAUUGGUUCUUAAUCACUGUAUCUAGAGCAACACUUUUCUGUUUUUUAAAAUCAGCGUCCUACUACCCUAGUUCAAACACCACACUGUGCACAGUUGGGGGGCAUCAAAGAACUCAGGUCCACAGAAUUUGAAAAGAAAAGCUGCAUCUUCUGUGCAUUUUGGUUCACAAAUAUCACGGAGACAAGAAACAGAACUCUCCAGAAUUCCUGAAAGGAAGACGGGUCUGAAUUGUGCUUUUAUUUCUGAAAACACAACCAGAGGACAUCCACAAUUUCUCUUCUUAAGGACUCGAACAAAAGAAGAUUUUUGGCAACAAAGGAAAUGGGCUCAGAUUAAAAAAUGUGCUCGGGUUACUGCUUUCUUCUAAGACAGCCGAUAAAAACUUCCCUAAAUGGGUAUGGUGAAGGAUGACAUGGGAUAUUCAUGUACACAAAAACAGCUAAAAACCCGAGACCCCAUCAGAGAGCUUUCACUUUCAUCACCUACGUUUUAUCAACAGUGACCCGUUUCUGAUAUUGACAGCCAGAACUGCCUCAUGCAACUUUGGACCAAUGUUGAACCCGAGCCAACUGAGAGUAUUGAUGAACAUUGCAAUCCUGAAACUGGUGCAAGCAGCAAUCUUUGGUCCUGCAUCCAGUCCAAGAGAGCACAUUUCUGCAGGCCGGCCAGUGUAGGCAUGAUUCCACGUUCUGGUAUUGGACUCGCAGAAAACAGACUACACUAACGCAUCCAGCAGCCUUGAAGAGGCUUGAAGACCUAACAGAUGAAAUGGCACAUCCUUCAGCUGUUUAAAGAAAAUUAUUUAAUCCUCGAUAAAGGCCACAGGACUUGAAGAUCUCAUUAAGAGGAGCCACGAAAACACAAUGAUCGGUUUCAGACAUCUGUUAAAAAGUAUCAGCAGAAUGAUACCCACCCUGAACACAUGCGAUGGAAGCAACACACACAGUCAAGCUGCAGUUUCCCAACCCCUGCAGACUGCAGCACGAUGCAGCACCACAUCACGCAAGGAAGAGCGGAUCUUCAGCCUGGAACAAAGAGAGUGCUGCUCGUUCUUGUUGUGGAAAUAUUCCACAUAUAAUAAUAAUUGUACAAUUUUACAUCUGCUCUUGGUAGUUUCACCACUAAAAAAAAAAAGAUUCCCUUUUCAUA